GACGAACGCUGGCGGCGUGCUUAACACAUGCAAGUCGAGCGGUAAGGCCCUUUCGGGGGUACACGAGCGGCGAACGGGUGAGUAACACGUGGGUGACCUGCCCUUAGCUCUGGGAUAAGCCUGGGAAACUGGGUCUAAUACCGGAUAUGACUCCAUGACGCAUGUUGUGGGGUGGAAAGCCUUGUGCGGCUAGGGAUGGGCCGCGGCCUAUCAGCUUGUUGGUGGGGUGAUGGCCUACCAAGGCGACGACGGGUAGCCGGCCUGAGAGGGCGACCGGCCACACUGGGACUGAGACACGGCCAGACUCCUACGGGAGGCAGCAGUGGGGAAUCUUGCGCAAUGGCGAAAGCCUGACGCAGCGACGCCGCGUGAGGGAUGACGG
rnacentral:rRNA from 1 species